rnacentral:rRNA from 1 species
AGCGAACGCUGGCGGCAGGCCUAACACAUGCAAGUCGAACGAACUCUUCGGAGUUAGUGGCGGACGGGUGAGUAACACGUGGGAACGUGCCUUUUGGUUCGGAAUAACUCAGGGAAACUUGUGCUAAUACCGAAUGUGCCCUUCGGGGGAAAGAUUUAUCGCCAUUAGAGCGGCCCGCGUCUGAUUAGCUAGUUGGUGAGGUAACGGCUCACCAAGGCGACGAUCAGUGCUGGUCUGAGAGGAUGACCAGCCACACUGGGACUGAGACACGGCCCAGACUCCUACGGGAGGCAGCAGUGGGGAAUCUUGCGCAAUGGGCGAAAGCCUGACGCAGCCAUGCCGCGUGAAUGAUGAAGGUCUUAGGAUUGUAAAAUUCUUUCACCGGGGACGAUAAUGACGGUACCCGGAGAAGAAGCCCCGGCUAACUUCGUG